rnacentral:lncRNA from 1 species
ACGGUUCUACACCCAAAGGACCUACUGACCAAAAAGGCUCAUAUGGUUGCUCUCCUCUAUUAAUGGUUACUUUCACAUAAGAUCUAACAUAUCGUUCCUCAUUUACCUCUGCUCCAUAGACUGGAUCUAGAAGUACCAACUUUUUUAUGAUCUCGACUAAGAUAAUCUUUGGAGAUAUGUUGAUUAUUAUCAUGAUCUGUGAUUAACAUUCCAAA